UGGAUCGAUGAGGACCACUGGUGGCGUAUGAGUCGUGCGCACUGAAUACGUGUUUGGAACUCUGAGGUCCAA
ensembl:snoRNA